AUACAAGGGUUAUUACAAAGGCUGGAUGACUUUGUGCAACAGAAAGUUGCCCUUGGUCUUACAGAAGUUGUUGGGAGGAAGGUUUCACAAAGAACUCCAACAACUUCCUUGAUUCAUGAACCUUUUGUAUAUGGAAGAGACAAGGAUAAAGAAAAUUUAUCAAAAGUCUUGUUCUCUGAUGAUGCAACCGAGGAUAAUGUAUCUAUCAUCACCAUUGUUGGUAUGGGUGGGGUUGGCAAGACGACCCUUGCUAGAGUCCUUUACAAUGAUGACAAGGUGAAAAAGCACUUUACCCUUAAAUCUUGGGCAUGUGUUUCAGAAGAUUAUGAUGCUAUUAGGGUGACUAAAACUCUUCUCGAGUCAGUCACUUCAACACCUUGUAAUAUGACAGAUUUGAAUUUGCUUCAAGUUGAACUUAGAGAACAACUGAGGGGAAAGAAAUUCUUAUUUGUGUUGGAUGAUCUUUGGAAUGAGAAAUAUUUUGAUUGGAAGUGUCUGCAAACUCCUUUUACUUCCGGGGCAAGAGGAAGUAAAGUCAUCGUGACAACACGAAGCGAAAAUGUCGCAUCUCUCAUGAAAAAUGUUCCCAUUCAAUACUUGGAACCUUUGUCGCAUGAAGAUUGUUGGAUGUUACUUGCAAAACAUGCAUUUGGAAAUGAAAACCACAAUGCACAUCCAACUUUGGAAGAACUUGGCAAGAAAAUUGCACGCAAGUGCAAAGGUUUGCCUUUAGCAGCAGAAACACUUGGGGGUUUAUUACGUUACCAGAGAGACUUUGAGGAAUGGAAUAUAUUAUUAAAUAGUAGUCUUUGGGAGCUACCUUAUGAUAAAAGUGAUAUCCUUCCAGCCCUGCGGUUGAGCUAUCAUUAUCUCCCUUCUCAGUUGAAACGAUGCUUUGUUUAUUGUUCAUUUUUUCCAGAAGGUUAUCAACUCAAGAAGGAAGAUAUGGUUCUACUUUGGAUGGCAGAAGGUUUAAUUCUACAAGGUUUGAAUGGGAAAAGAAUGGAAGAGAUGGCUAGAAAGUACUUCGAUGAACUAGUAUCACGAUCACUGCUUCAAAAAUCAGGAGGGCGUGGUUUCACAAUGCAUGAUCUUCUUAACGACUUGGGUCAGUUCAUGUCUAGGGGAUUUUUUCUCAAGCUGGAAGAGAUGGAAUCGCAAGAAGUUAAAAGACUCCGUCAUUUGUCAUAUGCUAGGGGAGAAAUUGAUGCUGCUAAAAAAUUUGAGCCAUUAAAUGGGGCCAAGUGUCUGCGGACCUUCCUACCGACCUCCUUUGAAACAGAUCGCUGGUCUAAAAAGUUCUACAUAAGUAAAAAGUUUCUACAUGAUUUGUUGCCAGCACUGAAAUGUUUAUGGGUUUUAUCAUUGUCGCGUUAUAGAAAUGUCAAUGAAUUACCUGAUUCUAUUGGUAAUCUCAUUCACUUGCGCUUUCUAGAUCUCUCUCAUACUGCAAUUGAAAGCUUACCUAGUGCAGUUUGCACUCUCUACAAUUUGCAGACACUACUAUUGUCAAAUUGUUACGCUCUCAUUGAACUGCCGGCAGACAUGAGAAAAUUGAUAAAUUUACGGACAUUAACGUUGGCAGAUUGUUGCUCCCUUGCCAAAUUACCUGUAGACAUGAGGGAACUUACUAGUUUGCAUUACCUCGAUGUCAAUGGGACAAAGAUAGAAGAGAUGCCAGUGGAAAUUGGAAGACUAAAAAGUUUGAGAACAUUAACUGCUUUCGUUGUGGGGAAAUCUACCGGGUCAAGUAUUGCAGAACUAAAGGAGUUGCCGCAUCUCCGGGGAAAACUUUCAAUUUUGAAUCUGCAAAAUGUAGUUGAUGUCAUGCAUGCCUUGGAAGCCAAUUUGAAGGUUAAGAAAGAACUCAAGGGCUUAGAGUUGGCAUGGGGUGAUGGGGACGCCGAUGAUUCCCAAAAGGCGAGAGAUGUGCUUGACAAGCUCCAACCUUGCAUAAAUUUGGAGAAACUGACUAUCAGAUUCUAUGGAGGAACCAGCUUCCCAAACUGGUUAGGAAACUCUAAUUCAUUCUCGAACAUACAGUUCAUGUGUAUCAGUGAUUGUAGGUAUUGUUUGUCCUUGCCAAGUUUUGGGCAGCUACCCACUCUUAAAGAGCUAUGUAUCAUAAGGGUGGAAUUCGUUAGGACGAUUGGUUAUGAGUUCUAUGGUGAUUGUAAUGGAGCUUCUGUAAUUCAGCCCUUUCAGUCUCUGAAGACGCUAAAGUUUGAGGAGAUGCCAGAGUGGGAGGAUUGGCUGCCGAGUCCAAGUGGAGGUCAAUGUUCAGACUUUCCGUGUCUCCAGGAGAUGAGAAUAAGGAAUUGUCCGAAGCUGAGAGGAUACUUGCCUAAUCGUCUUCCCUGCUUGAAAACACUUAGGGUGUCUGGGUGUGAAUUUCUACAGCUGCAUGAUGAAUGGGCCACUACCAGCAGCAGCAGCAGCAGUAGUCUUAACAUGGACUACUUACAGAAUUCAUUGGAAAUACAUAUUAAUGGAUGCCCCGGUCUGUUACCGUUAAUAGAGAGAGUAGAGAAGAAGUUCUUGUCCACACUCGGCAUUUUUAAUUUUGUUGCAAUACAGUGCUUGCCCAAAAUGCAAUAUCUUGAACGCUUGACUCUCAGCAAUUGCCCAACCGUGUCUUCAUUGGAGUUCCUAUCACAUGAGGUGAUGGCCGAAUUGACAUCACUUGAGUAUUUGGAUAUAGAAAAGAGUUUUCAUUCAGUGAGGUCGUUCCCGUUGGGCGUUUUCCCCAAACUUUCAACUCUUGUAAUCAAUGGUUGUGAGAAUCUGGAAUCCUUUUCUAUUGAAGGAGUUGAUCAAAACCUAAGCCAUCUCAACCACCUGCGAAUCUACGACUGUCCAAAUCUGGAGUCUUUUCCCAACGGAGGACUGCCCACUCCCAACUUGAGACACUUGCAAGUCAAUGGAUGCAAGAAUUUGAAGUCAUUCCCCGAACGAAUUCGCACCCUCACCGCCCUUGGAACGUUGGCCUUAUACAAUCUUCCAAAUCUUGUGUCAUUUGCCCAAGGGGGUUUGCCUCCCAACCUGCAAUAUUUGUAUGUUAGAAACUGCGACAGAGUGAGGCCUUCAGUGGAGUGGGGAUUGCAAGGACUUGUCUCGCUUAGAGAAGUUAGCAUCGGUGGCGAGAUCUGGGCAAUGUUGCUCAAGGAACAGCUGCUCCCUACUACUCUUAACUCUGUCCGCAUCGCUGGACUAUCAAGUCUGAAAUCGUUGGACGGAAAAGGACUUCGACACCUCACUUCUCUUCAAAAGCUAUCUAUUUAUGGGUGCCCAAGUCUGGAAUUCCUUCCAGCAGAGGGACUUCAACACCUCACUUCUCUUCAACAGGUAUCCAUUUCUCGGUGUCCAAAUCUUCAGUUCCUGCCAGAAGACAGUUUGCCACCAUCUCUUUCUUUCCUGGAGAUCUACUCUUGUUCCACCCUGGAGAAAAGGUAUGAGAAAAGGACCGGAGAACAUUGGGCCAAGAUAUCUCACAUUCCUUGCAUACAGAUAAAUGACGAAGUCAUCAUAUGAGCUCUCUCAUACAAAGUUGUGCUUUUCAGCAUUUCACUCUCAGCAUGGAAGACACAUCAUCCCUACAUCUUCAACAUUUUCGGAUGGUAUGGAGAGGAUCAAUCCAACAUAGUAAGCAUCAAAGGUGCAACAUUUAUAGAAGCAUAUUUGGCAUGAUGAUGAUCCUCUAAAGGAAGAUGAUGGAACCCCGGGAUGAUAUAGUUCUUUGUCAAGCGGGCAUGGUUUGAAUACGGUGGCAUGUUAUCUCGUCUUCUUUCAAUGCCAUUAUCAUCUUCAAGUUGGUCUAUCUAUGUUUUUAUUUACGAGUGCGAACUGGUGCAAGUUAUUUCUUCGGGACCAGACGGCAUGCUAUGACAGGUUGAAGUCAAUAAACAGAAAUAAACACGGCGCAGUGGAUCACUCUCCGUUCUUCCCAAAAUCCCAAUUCCAUCGAUUUGGUAUCACUCCCUCCUCCCUACCUUCAGUCUCAGAGCAGCUUUCGAUCACUUCCCUCUCUCCCUCCUUAACAAUCAGUUCAUAAAACCAAUUUAGCUCCGCCAAGUCGCUUCCAAUUGAAGAAAUGAUAUGUCCUCUUCUUCCGAUGCUCGGGCUUUCAUCUCAUGUUUUAGGGAUCUCCUCGAUUCGAUCAUUGUUGAUGUUGCAUCUGAGUGUCAUCGAAUAGCGAAGGGUCUUGAUCGUAAUUUUGAAGAAGAGGAAGAAGAACUAAGGUUGUCAGCCCAAGCACGGGUGAGGGUAGCUGAUCCUAGUAAUAGUGGUGAAGCAAAUAGCAAGUACGUGGUUGACAUAUUUGGGUAGAAUCAUCCUUCUGUAACCAGCGAAGUGUUUGAGUGCAUGAAUUGUGGUCGGUCUAUCGUGGCUGGGAGGUUUGCUCCUCAUCUGGAGAAGUGUAUGGGAAAGGGUAGAAAGGCUCGCCUUAAGGUGACAAGAAGUAGCACUGCUGCACAAACUCGGAAUUCUCGAGGAAACCCUGCUUCCACAUACUCUACAUAUUCAUGUUCUAACAGCAGAAGCCGGUUAUCAAAUUAAGCAUCGGGUGUUGCUGGGGAGGAGUACUCGAACGAUGCAUUGGAAGAGCCAUGAAACAGUUGAAGCACUGGUGAGCUCCCCAAGUUACUUGGAUGCAAUGGAUCUUGCAUACUUGCUUAGUUCGUGAUAUUUUGUGGAAAGUGAUGCCCGAUUUUGAAUAGCAGUAUGUUGGUUUAGUAUAUGACCGGAGGAAUUAUGUGGUGACAUUUUUUUUUCCAGUAUGAAGAAUAGUGCCUUGUAUACAACAUUCUUGACCACAUCUUGGAUGAUAAUUCCAAAUCUCAAAAAAGUUGAUUAUGUCUCAAAUUGAAUGUAAUUGUUUGCUCUA